UCGCCACCUUAACGUGGUGGAGGAGUUUGAGUGGCUCAGUGAUCCUGUGAUCUGUGUUGUCUGUGGCACAAGCACCUUGUGCGAUGGACAACAGGUCUCAGGGGAGAGUCGAGACUAAGAGCGAUUCAAAAACACUAAUGUUUAAUCAAACAAUAAUACAAUGGCUUUACAGCCUAAUAUCUAUAUAGUGUUAAAAAAAACGCCAGCCACAAGACAGCCUAAAAGGUUGUUAAAUUACUUUACUUACUUUACUUAAUUACUUAAGCUAUCAACUAUUAUUUAUUAUUUGGCCAAUGUUUUGAUAACCGACCGCUGCCAGUUCAGUGUUUCCCAUCAUUAUAAACAGGGGCGCGCCCCCCAUGACGUAGUGAACCUGGGGGAGACACUGCAGUCUACCUAAUCGAUGCGAACAACGUGUGUGUGACUCGUGUCACUGGUAAAUGUGUUGUGGUUUUAUCUGUAUAAGUUAGAUGCACGUGUUGUUUUGGUGUCGUGUCUCUGAAUGUCGCCAUGUUUCCAUCAUCCCAACGGCAGGUCACGUGAUCUGCAGGCGCCUUCUGAUCACAUUGUAAUGGACUGACGUGUUGUGUGAGCGAGGUUACGCAUUAAGAGUUUGUCCUUAAUGGACUUUCUUACAUUACUUUUACUUUUAUACUUUAAGUAGUUUUGAAACCAGUACUUUUAUACUUUUACUUAAGUAAAAAGCUUGAGUUGGUACUUAAACUUCUACAGGAGUCUUUUUAAACCCUAGUAUAUGUACUUCUAUUGAGUAAUGAAUGUGAAUACUUUUGACACCUCUGAUUCUGAUAAACUAAAACCAUCAAACAUUCAACAAAUGGCUUGCAGGAUUUGGUAUCUCUCUUUAUGAGAUUCAUUGUCCAAGGCCAGUUCAACCUCAUAUGUUUUCAUACCUGACUGAAAACUGGUUCAAGCUAACCCUAACCCAUAUAUUAACAAUAAUGAAUAUAUAACAAUGAAUAAUAAAACAACCACAGGGCAAUAUUAUUUUUCUGUUUCAUAAAGAAAUGUAUUUUUACAUCCUGAAAUACAUAAAUGAAAUGAACUGUUUGAUUCAAAGCUAAGGGCAUUUUAUGUUGAUUUUGGUGGUCCAUGUGGACACAAGUUGCAGAACGUUAGAUCCAGAAUGGAUCACUGUUGUCUUCAAAUACCUUUUCUAACCUUCCAAAGACAACUAAAAGCAACUCUGAAAUGACGACAUGCACUCACGGUGUCCUCAGCAUGGCUGCUCAACAGCCCCUAUUAGAUCAACAGGAAACAAUUUAAUUGUCCCCUGUUCUUUGUUUUCGUGCAGUGAGGAUGUUUGUCCCGGCGGGGGCCUCCAUCCAUGAAUUGGUUAUCUGUGUUCAGCAGGGGACGGACGUCGGUCCUGAUCAGGCUGGUUAUCAUGGUCGCCUGACAGUUUGGGAGGAAGACCUCCGACUGCUGUCUGCCCGAAGCUGAUUGACAGCUGCCUCAGAGGAGGUUGUGACACAUGUGUGACAGGAAGAGCGUGUGACGUACAGAAAGCACAUUUGGACCCUCCACAUACUAUUUUACGGGCAACACAGACAUUUUGGAAUUACGUGUUGAACAACUAGAUUGGCCUGCAUGCACAAACCUCCACCAAUACUGAGAGCCCCUUUCACCCGACAGUCAAUCAGUGACCCGUCUCGCUAACGUGGCGUUCUGACGUGGCUCUUGUGGCUGAAUGGGUACAAAUCUCUGCAGCCAGAUUCCCAGGAGAGUGGAGGCCUUAAAUGUUUACGUGUUGACGUACUUCGGGCAUAUAGUUUAGCAUAAGACGGAUCUUAUGCGAUGUGUUAUUAGUUCAGUGGGAAAAUAAACGACGAAAGAGCAAAAUGCAAAUCAGAUGAGACUUGGUGGAUAUUAAUGAUACAUUCUAUUUCAUGCAUAUAAAUCAAAUCAUAACAGGAGUUAUCUCAAGACCGUUCAGGUCCAGACAACUUGCUGUAGUUGAGGGGAUUAAUACCGCUGCCAUACGUCGAAACUUUUGUCUGGCAAGAAGAAAAGAUUUAUAAAUAUCCAUCUUUAUCUAGUAUCCAUCAUCUGUCUAUUUAAUCUGUCCAUCUCUUUAUCUGUCUCUCUAUAUAAAUAUAUCUAUCUGUCAUCAUCAAAGUCUGCAGGCCUGAAUCUCCUCAUCCGUCUUCUCUC
ensembl:lncRNA